rnacentral:rRNA from 1 species
AGUGAACGCUGGCGGUAUGCCUAACACAUGCAAGUCGAACGAAAGCACAGUAAGAUCGUGCUCUUACCGGUAGCGAGGGGCGGAUGGGUGAGGAAUACAUCGGAAUCCAAUUUUUCGUGGGUGAUAACGUAGGGAAACAUACACUAAUACCGCAUACGUCCUACGGGUGAAAUCAGUGGAUAAACAUAGCUUUCGCGACUCAUAUAGAUGGUGUCGGAUUAGCUAAUUGGGGUGGUAAAGGCUCACCAAGGCAACGAUCCGUAGCCGGGCUGAGAGGAUGAUCGGCCACACUGGAACUGAGACACGGUCCAGACUCCUACGGGAGGCAGCAGUGGGGAAUAUUGGGCAAUGGGCGAAAGCCUGACCCAGCCAUACCGCGUGAGUGAAGAAGGUCUUCGGAUUGUAAAGCUCUUUUAUUGGGGAAGAACAGCCGUGGAUUAAACCGCGGACGUUUUGACGGUACCCAAACAGUAAGCCCCGGCUAACUUCGUG